GCGUUGGUGGUUAAGUGGUAGAACUCCCACCUUCCAUAUUGGAGACCUGGGUUCGAUUCCAGACCAAUGCG
rnacentral:tRNA from 1 species